UGCAAACCAUCUGUUUGUGUAAACACAUGUACACACAACAGAUACACAGAAUAUAGUUAAGCAAAGGCCUGCUCCUUUUACUGAAGACGUUUGAGCUGCUCUGUAUUAGAUUAGGCUAACAAUAAGCUAUAGAUGAACCCACUGACAUUAGUUAUUGUUUCAGAAGAGUCAUCAAUAAUCUCUGUAGACAUGACCACCGUCUUGACGUGCAGCAUUCAACCAUCAUAAAAUAACGUGUGUGGCCGUCUCAUUAUGGGCUCAAAUUAAAAUGAGUUUGGCAUUAGCCGAGCAGCUAGCAGAUAGCUCCCCUGUCAGCUACAAUAACCUGUGAGCCUUUUGUAUGGAGGCCCUGUUAGCUCAACGGCUAGCUCUGGCUCGUUAGCAUCAAAAGUGACAGGUACCCGAGAGCCGGCCCGCAGCUCCUCGGCCACAGCCUCCAUGUUUCCCGGCGUCAAGUGUCCGGCUCGGCGGUGCUCGAUCCCGGCCAAGGGAGCCACGGUCGCGUCGGCUAAAGAUCCGUCUCCCCUUCGCUAUUGGAGCAGGAGGCUACACCAGGGCAUAAAAUGACGCCAUCACCCCCACCAAGUCAAUUACAACAGCACUGCCACCGCUGACAUCACGCUCCCUGUGCUAGAGGAGCAGAAAUCUCUCAAGACAAGGCCUACCCUUCUCUGUCUCACUUCGACUUGUUUGAUGCCAUUCAUUAGGACGGACUUUCACAUCGGGGAAGCCUCCGUUUAACACGGCGAGAGGCUAUUUCUGCUCUGCUUUAAAACUCUACACGAGAGCGUGGAUUAAAAUAUGGAUGCAUUUUCUUGUUGUUGUAAUGUUGUAAGCGAUACAAAUGGACAAAUAUGACAUGAAUUUAGAUAUUUACCACAAGAUGUAAACACACGUAUCUAAACUAGUUGAUAAUUAAAUGUCACUUUUUGCUAAAAUGCCCUUGAAAUCUUAAAAUUUUCAAUUCCAUGCUGCAAAUCUUCUUACUGUUAUGUCAGGCAUAAAAACAAAAAAAAGCCCAUCAGUGUAAAUCAUUGGUGAG